UGUCAGGGGCCAUGGAGUGUCGGCCGGUGAAUCCCGCCAGGUCCUGACGGAAGCAACGGCAGCUGUUCCGGCAUUGCCGUGGUUCUCUGACAGAC
rnacentral:SRP_RNA from 1 species